rnacentral:rRNA from 1 species
UACGUAGGGUGCGAGCGUUGUCCGGAAUUACUGGGCGUAAAGCGCUUGUAGGCGGCACGUCAAGUCGCGUGUGAAAUCCCCAGGCUUAACCUGGGAAGUGCGCGCGAAACUGACGAGCUUGAGUGCCGGAGAGGGUCGCGGAAUUCCCGGUGUAGAGGUGAAAUUCGUAGAUAUCGGGAGGAACACCAGUGGCGAAGGCGGCGACCUGGACGGACACUGACGCUGAGACGCGAAAGCGUGGGGAGCAAACAGG